rnacentral:rRNA from 1 species
AUUGAACGCUAGCGGCAUGCUUAACACAUGCAAGUCGAACGGAGUGACGGACGGGUGCGUAAUAUCUCGGAAAGUGCCCGGGAGCGGGGGAUAACUACUAGAAAGAGUGGCGAAUAGCGCAUACUACUGGAUCGACCGCGAUGGGAUUAGCUAGUUGGUGGGGUAAGGGCUCACCAAGGCAACGAUCCGAAGCUGGUUUGAGAGGACGACCAGCCACACUGGAACUGAGACACGGCCCAGAAUCCUACGGGAGGCAGCAGUGGGGAAUUUUGGACAAUGGGGGAAACCCUGAUCCAGCCAUCCCGCGUGUAUGAUGAAGGCCUUCGGGUUGUAAAGUACUUUUGGCAGAGAAGCGGUAUCUGCAGAAUAAGCACCGGCUAACUACGUGCCAGCAGCCGCGGUAAUAC